rnacentral:rRNA from 1 species
GACGGAGGGUGCUAGCGUUGUUCGGAAUGACUGGGCGUAAAGGGCGCGUAGGCGGCUCGUGAAGUCGGGUGUGAAAGCCCGGGCUCAACCCCGGAACGGCAUCCGAUACUGGCGGGCUUGAGACCGGGAGAGGAGGGUGGAAUACCCAGUGUAGAGGUGAAAUUCGUAGAUAUUGGGUGGAACACCGGUGGCGAAAGCGGCUCUCUGGCCCGGAUCUGACGCUGAGGCGCGAAAGCGUGGGGAGCAAACAGG